GAUUGAACGCUAGCGGGAUGCCUUACACAUGCAAGUCGAACGGCAGCACGGACUUCGGUCUGGUGGCGAGUGGCGAACGGGUGAGUAAUGUAUCGGAACGUGCCCAGUAGCGGGGGAUAACUACGCGAAAGCGUAGCUAAUACCGCAUACGCCCUACGGGGGAAAGCAGGGGAUCUUCGGACCUUGCACUAUUGGAGCGGCCGAUAUCGGAUUAGCUAGUUGGUGGGGUAACGGCCUACCAAGGCGACGAUCCGUAGCUGGUUUGAGAGGACGACCAGCCACACUGGGACUGAGACACGGCCCAGACUCCUACGGGAGGCAGCAGUGGGGAAUUUUGGACAAUGGGGGAAACCCUGAUCCAGCCAUCCCGCGUGUGCGAUGAAGGCUUCGGGUUGUAAAGCACUUUUGGCAAGGAAAGAACGUCGCCGGGCUAAUACCCCGCGACUGACGGUACUGCAAAUAAGCACCGGCUAACUACGUGCCACAGCGCGGUA
rnacentral:rRNA from 1 species